rnacentral:rRNA from 1 species
AACAAACGCUGGCGGCGUGCCUAAUACAUGCAAGUCGAACGGGGAAAGCUUUCGGGUGAGUACUAGUGGCGCACGGGUGAGGAACGCGUGGAUAAUCUGCCUUAGAGUGGGGGAUAACUAGUCGAAAGAUUAGCUAAUACCGCAUAAGACCACAAGAUCUGCGGAUCAAGGGGUCAAAGGUUUUUCGCUCUAAGAUGAGUCCGCGUAAGAUUAGCUAGUUGGUGAGGUAACGGCUCACCAAGGCGACGAUCUUUAACUGGUCUGAGAGGAUGAUCAGUCACACUGGAACUGAGACACGGUCCAGACUCCUACGGGAGGCAGCAGUAGGGAAUAUUGCACAAUGGAGGAAACUCUGAUGCAGCGACGCCGCGUGAGUGAUGAAGGCCUUCGGGUCGUAAAGCUCUGUCGCAGGGGAAUAAUACAAUGAAGGUACCCUGUAAGAAAGGAUCGGCUAACUUCGUGCCAGCAGCCGCGGUAACAC